rnacentral:rRNA from 1 species
CGAAUGCUGACAUAAGUAACGAUAAAGCGGGUGAAAAGCCCGCUCGCCGGAAGACCAAGGGUUCCUGUCCAACGUUAAUCGGGGCAGGGUGAGUCGACCCCUAAGGCGAGGCCGAAAGGCGUAGUCGAUGGGAAACAGGUUAAUAUUCCUGUACUUGGUGUUACUGCGAAGGGGGGACGGAGAAGGCUAUGUUGGCCGGGCGACGGUUGUCCCGGUUUAAGCGUGUAGGCUGGUUUUCCAGGCAAAUCCGGAAAAUCAAGGCUGAGGCGUGAUGACGAGGCACUACGGUGCUGAAGCAACAAAUGCCCUGCUUCCAGGAAAAGCCUCUAAGCAUCAGGUAACAUCAAAUCGUACCCCAAACCGACACAGGUGGUCAGGUAGAGAAUACCAAGGCGCUUGAGAGAACUCGGGUGAAGGAACUAGGCAAAAUGGUGCCGUAACUUCGGGAGAAGGCACGCUGAUAUGUAGGUGAAGUCCCUCGCGGAUGGAGCUGAAAUCAGUCGAAGAUACCAGCUGGCUGCAACUGUUUAUUAAAAACACAGCACUGUGCAAACACGAAAGUGGACGUAUACGGUGUGACGCCUGCCCGGUGCCGGAAGGUUAAUUGAUGGGGUCAGCGCAAGCGAAGCUCUUGAUCGAAGCCCCGGUAAACGGCGGCCGUAACUAUAACGGUCCUAAGGUAGCGAAAUUCCUUGUCGGGUAAGUUCCGACCUGCACGAAUGGCGUAAUGAUGGCCAGGCUGUCUCCACCCGAGACUCAGUGAAAUUGAACUCGCUGUGAAGAUGCAGUGUACCCGCGGCAAGACGGAAAGACCCCGUGAACCUUUACUAUAGCUUGACACUGAACAUUGAGCCUUGAUGUGUAGGAUAGGUGGGAGGCUUUGAAGUGUGGACGCCAGUCUGCAUGGAGCCGACCUUGAAAUACCACCCUUUAAUGUUUGAUGUUCUAACGUGGACCCGUGAUCCGGGUUGCGGACAGUGUCUGGUGGGUAGUUUGACUGGGGCGGUCUCCUCCUAAAGAGUAACGGAGGAGCACGAAGGUUGGCUAAUCCUGGUCGGACAUCAGGAGGUUAGUGCAAUGGCAUAAGCCAGCUUGACUGCGAGCGUGACGGCGCGAGCAGGUGCGAAAGCAGGUCAUAGUGAUCCGGUGGUUCUGAAUGGAAGGGCCAUCGCUCAACGGAUAAAAGGUACUCCGGGGAUAACAGGCUGAUACCGCCCAAGAGUUCAUAUCGACGGCGGUGUUUGGCACCUCGAUGUCGGCUCAUCACAUCCUGGGGCUGAAGUAGGUCCCAAGGGUAUGGCUGUUCGCCAUUUAAAGUGGUACGCGAGCUGGGUUUAGAACGUCGUGAGACAGUUCGGUCCCUAUCUGCCGUGGGCGCUGGAGAACUGAGGGGGGCUGCUCCUAGUACGAGAGGACCGGAGUGGACGCAUCACUGGUGUUCGGGUUGUCAUGCCAAUGGCACUGCCCGGUAGCUAAAUGCGGAAGAGAUAAGUGCUGAAAGCAUCUAAGCACGAAACUUGCCCCGAGAUGAGUUCUCCCUGACCCUUUAAGGGUCCUGAAGGAACGU